rnacentral:rRNA from 1 species
UACGAAGGGGGCUAGCGUUGCUCGGAAUCACUGGGCGUAAAGCGCACGUAGGCGGGUCUUUAAGUCAGGGGUGAAAUCCUGCAGCUUAACUGCAGAACUGCCAUGGAUACUAUCUAUCUUGAAUGUCGUGGAGGUUAGCGGAAUAUGUCAUGUAGCGGUGAAAUGCUUAGAGAUGACAUAGAACACCCAUUGCGAAGGCAGCUAACUACGCGAUAAUUGACGCUGAUGCACGAAAGCGUGGGGAUCAAACAGG